UGCAUCCAGCAGCUACAUUUUGUUUGGUUUGUGAAGGAGAAAAUGAAGUUCUCACACAGUGCUGCAUAAUGGGGCUUUUGCUCAGCAGUGUGUCAGCAAAUUAUCCACUGAGCUGCUUGACCUGGUAGACCUUAAGCUCACAACUCCAGAAACCUUUCGCCAGAAGAGCAUUUGUGCCAGACUGACAUUUGCUGCUCGAAGGCAAGGAAAGUCUGCUCACAAAGUUCCCACUGGCUUGCAAAACAGAAACAUCUGCAAAGUGCCUCCAGGGGCCAGCUAAGCAGAGUUCAAGAGCAAGGAAAAAGGUGGAGGCCAAAUGACUUUAUCUUAGCCAGUCACUGUCAGCAUGAAGGUGCAUCUGUGUGUAUCUGUUUGAGUCUACAGGACAGGAGAGAAUGGCAUGGUGGAGAAAGGUCUUUGUGGAGGUAUUGCUUACAUGAGUGCUCUGCUCUGCGAGGUCCAUACACUGAUCAGCUGCAGUCCUCGACAUGCGAGUGCGGAGAGGAGCAAACCACUGAUCACCUGCUGCAAUGCAACCUGAGCCCAGCCACAUGCACCAUGUAGGACCUUCUUGCAGCAACACCAGAAGCACUCCAAGUGGCCAGAUACUGGUCAAAGGACAUUUAAUCAACUACCAAACUCACACAUUUUGUAUUUUCUCUGUUUGUUUGCUUUGUUCUGUUAGAAAUGUAAUAUAAUUGACUGGCUGCCCUGACACGAGAAAUAAAUAAAUAAAGCUGCAGUACAUUUUAUCACC